UACAGAGGUCCCAAGCGUUGUUCGGAUUCAUUGGGCGUAAAGGGUGCGUAGGCGGCGCGGUAAGUCGGGUGUGAAAUCUCGGGGCUUAACUCCGAAACUGCAUUCGAUACUGCCGUGCUUGAGGACUGGAGAGGUGACUGGAAUUUACGGUGUAGCGGUGAAAUGCGUAGAUAUCGUAAGGAAGACCAGUGGCGAAGGCGGGUCUCUGGACAGUUCCUGACGCUGAGGCACGAAGGCCAGGGGAGCAAACGGG
rnacentral:rRNA from 1 species